UGAAACUAUCAAUCUAAAGGAUGGAAUGAUACUAACAAGUCUAGUAAAAACAUCCUCGAUAAUACUCCUACAUGCGUUACAUCGGAUAGGGUGUAAGGUGUGAAGCUAGGUGAAGUCGGGUGAAGGUUACCUAAGUCUAUAAUUUAAACAGAUAUGGUAACUGAUAGCUCGGUCGGCUGAAAA
rnacentral:ncRNA from 1 species